AACCGGGGGAGCCGUUUGGCUGAGAGGAAGCGGAAGCUUCGACCCUUGAACCUGAUGCGGGUAAUGCCGACGUAGGGAGCAGAUU
rnacentral:ncRNA from 1 species